rnacentral:rRNA from 1 species
UACGUAGGGGGCAAGCGUUGUCCGGAAUCAUUGGGCGUAAAGCGCGUGUAGGCGGCCCGGUAAGUCCGCUGUGAAAGUCGGGGCUCAACCCUCGAAUGCCGGUGGAUACUGUCGGGCUAGAGUGCGGAAGAGGCGAGUGGAAGUUCCUGGUGUAGCGGUGAAAUGCGCAGAUAUCAGGAGGAACACCUAUUGCGAAGGCAGCUCGCUGGGACGUAACUGACGCUGAGACGCGAAAGCGUGGGGAGCAAACAGG